rnacentral:lncRNA from 1 species
GCCAAAUUAGAUUAUUCCUCGUGAUCUGGAUCGACCUAUCUGUGACUGACCUGAGCUCGUGCCUGGAGUGUGUGUGAUUCUGAUUGGAUGAGGUGGUGUGGAGCGAGAUGAGGUCAGUUGCUGCUACUAUAUGAGGAUAGCCCUUGCCCCAAGCAAAAGGAGAAGCUGCUGCGUGAACCCGACUUGGUGUCCCUGUUGUUCUUGUCUCUGCGGGUCGGAGACUGCGGCAAUGCGCUUGUUAAGCUUCCCGAGUCCCUGUAAAGUCAGUCCUUCGGGGAUUUAUGACUGCUUCCUUCCACAGAUGUAACGGAAAAAGCCAUCCGCAGUCAGCCAUCACCUCAACAACCCAAGAUCUUCUUUCCCCAGAGGUUGGGAGGUGGCAGAGUGAAGAGUGGGAGGCAUGCACCUUCGAGUGGUACAUGGACACAGAAGAAGCCAGACUCCCCCUCACAGGAGAUCCACAAGGUAUUUCUCAUGCCCUGGGAGCUGCCCUGAUAUCAAACAAUUGGACAUUUCCCCAUGGACAGUUUUGUUCAAUCAACACAAUCUUCUACCAGCAAGAAUGUCUUAAUACCCCACAGACCAGUUUAAUGAAAGAUGCACAGAGCCAGUUAAUGUGCACGGCUUCACUCACUGUCAUGAUCUGUCUGAUUGUCUAAUGGGAUGCUGUAAAACCCACCCACUUUUUUUC